UGCUAAAGGAAAAAGAGGCUUGGCAACAUGCAAUGACAAUGGCCGAAAUCUAGUCCCUUUAGUGGGUCCACCGACCAUAAUCACAGCUACAACCUUCUCUCCAGAGGUGCCCAUCUCAAAUCAACACAAACCCAGAUCUUCGAUUCCCCAAAUUACGAAUAAAGACUCUUUAUUUAUGAAUAACAGAGGCUCAAAUCUUUAAAGCACUGAAGUGGUAACUACCGCCCAAUCGUACAAAAAAUAAUUUCACACCAUCCAAACCACUAUUCAUAGGAGCCAAGAGAGCUAACUUUAGACCCAAAUAUCUGUACUUUUUGGCUAGUAGCUUACAC
rnacentral:misc_RNA from 1 species